rnacentral:rRNA from 1 species
ACGGAAGGUCCGGGCGUUAUCCGGAUUUAUUGGGUUUAAAGGGAGCGUAGGCCGGAGAUUAAGCGUGUUGUGAAAUGUAGACGCUCAACGUCUGCACUGCAGCGCGAACUGGUUUCCUUGAGUACGCACAAAGUGGGCGGAAUUUGUGGUGUAGCGGUGAAAUGCUUAGAUAUCACGAAGAACUCCGAUUGCGAAGGCAGCUCACUGGAGCGCAACUGACGCUGAAGCUCGAAAGUGCGGGUAUCGAACAG